rnacentral:rRNA from 1 species
GAUGAACGCUGACAGAAUGCUUAACACAUGCAAGUCAACUUGAAUUUGGGUUUUUAACUUAGAUUUGGGUGGCGGACGGGUGAGUAACGCGUAAAGAACUUGCCUCACAGCUAGGGACAACAUUUAGAAAUGAAUGCUAAUACCUGAUAUUAUGAUUUUAAGGCAUCUUAGAAUUAUGAAAGCUGUAAGCACUGUGAGAGAGCUUUGCGUCCCAUUAACUAGUCGGAGAGGUAACAGCUCACCAAGGCGAUGAUGGGUAGCCGGCCUGAGAGGGUGAACGGCCACAAGGGGACUGAGACACGGCCCUUACUCCUACGGGAGGCAGCAGUGGGGAAUAUUGGACAAUGGACCGAAAGUCUGAUCCAGCAAUUCUGUGUGCACGAUGAAGUUUUUCGGAAUGUAAAGUGCUUUCAGUUGGGAAGAAAGAAAUGACGGUACCAACAGAAGAAGUGACGGCUAAAUACGUGCCAGCAGCCGCGGUAAUACGUAUGUCACGAGCGUUAUCCGGAUUUAUUGGGCGUAAAGCGCGUCUAGGUGGUUAUGUAAGUCUGAUGUGAAAAUGCAGGGCUCAACUCUGUAUUGCGUUGGAAACUGUAUAACUAGAGUACUGGAGAGGUAAGCGGAACUACAAGUGUAGAGGUGAAAUUCGUAGAUAUUUGUAGGACUGCCGAUGGGGAAGCCAGCUUACUGGACAGAUACUGACGCUAAAGCGCGAAAGCGUGGGUAGCAAACAGG